CGUGAAAGUAAAAAGCAUUGGUGCUACUGUAGAUGCCAACAGACUACCAGCAAACACAAUGUUUGCAGGACUUCUACAACUAGGAUAAAGUGACAUAGUCCAGGACCCGAGGUCAACAGUUUAGCGGUGCUACAACACGCUACAGCAGGUCCGUUUGACAAGAAACACUUCUGUUACAGACACUUGUCUUACUUUGUUAAAGCGGUUUACCUGUCCAGCAGAAAGAUUACAGGGUCACCAAGAUCCUAAAGCGUCCCCUAUAGUUUAAUGUUGACUCGGCUUCUUAGCUCUUGUCCGGUCUACUUCUGUUUUAAGCGCCCGUUAUUCCACCAGAGUCUCCGGUAUUUACUUUGUUUUCUUGCUUUUGUUGGCAGUCGUGGCCAAAGGAGGAUUCAGACAAUUUUCUGUACUUUCUGGUUGGUUUCUACUGUCCGAUAUUGUAGCACGCUAACUUUUGUUUGGGCUCGUGAACGACACAGGGGAGCAGCGUCUGCCUCACAACCAGUCAGGU